GAUGAACGCUAGCGGCAGGCUUAAUACAUGCAAGUCGAGGGGCAGCAGUUUUGUAGCAAUACAGAAGCUGGCGACCGGCAAACGGGUGCGGAACACGUACGCAACCUUCCUUUAACUGGAAGAUAGCCCACCGAAAGGUGGAUUAAUACUCCAUAACAUAUUGAAGAGGCAUCUUUUUGAUAUUAAAGCUCCGGCGGUUAAAGAUGGGCGUGCGUCUGAUUAGGUAGUUGGCGGGGUAACGGCCCACCAAGCCUUCGAUCAGUAGCUGGUGUGAGAGCAUGAUCAGCCACACGGGCACUGAGACACGGGCCCGACUCCUACGGGAGGCAGCAGUAAGGAAUAUUGGUCAAUGGACGCAAGUCUGAACCAGCCAUGCCGCGUGGAGGAUGAAGGCCCUCUGGGUUGUAGACUUCUUUUCUUUGGGACGAAACCCCUGUUUCUACGGGGACUGACGGUACCAGAGGAAUAAGCACCGGCUAACUCCGUGCCAGCAGCCGCCGCCGUAA
rnacentral:rRNA from 1 species